AUUGAACGCUGGCGGCAGGCCUAACACAUGCAAGUCGAACGAGUGGCGGACGGGUGAGUAAUGUCUGGGAAACUGCCUGAUGGAGGGGGAUAACUACCGGAAACGGUAGCUAAUACCGCAUACCAUCGGAUGUGCCCAGAUGGGAUAAGCUAGUAGGUGGGGUAAAGGCUCACCUAGGCGACGAUCCCUAGCUGGUCUGAGAGGAUGACCAGCCACACUGGAACUUAGACACGGUCCAGCCUCCUACGGGAGACAGCAGUGGUGAAUAUUGCACAGUAGGCGCAAGCCUGAUGCAGCCAUCCCGCUUGUAUGAAGAAGGCCUUCGGGUUGUAAAGUACUUUCAGCGGGGAGGCGUUACCCGCAGAAGAAGCGCCGGCUAACUCCGUGCCAGCAGCCGCGGUGAUAC
rnacentral:rRNA from 1 species